UGUGGGGAUAUUAAUUCUCUUCCCUACCCAUACACUGGGGACUUGGUUAUCAGUUUCCAGGUGAGACAGUCACCUCAGGGAUCAAAUGUGGGUUUAUGCCACCUUUGUGUCUCCCUAUAGUCUCAAUUUUAGCCAUGAAGGGUUAACUCCUUCCCUGCCAAUCUGGUACUCAUUAUACUUGCAGUCAAAAAAAUCUGAGGCAGCUACACUUGUUUUUGAUGACAAUAUCUGAUACAAAAGAUGUUUAGAGUUGACACCUCUCACCUUUUUGAGAACCCACAUUCCUUUUUGGGAUAUUGGAGCACAAGAACAUUAGCCAUCCUCAUUUACCUUUGGGAGAACAAGGCUGUCCAGGCAGAACUACCUUUUUAAACAGAAAGGUAGCCCCAUAAAUGCAUAAAUAGUUCCUCUUCUUCCAGCUUGGGGGUGGGCGGUGGGGGGACCCAAACUUUUCCAAAGUACUCAAUUCAGUUAAGCCCUAGGUAUUUCACAUGACGAUCAGCUGCACUAGAGAGAUUUAUGAUUAUUUUGGUCUUCGGACUCUAUCACAAUGAGCCUUAUGAGCCUCGUACUAUAGAUUCACUUGGAGAUCAUUUUGCAAGCUUUUUCACUCAGUCAACAUGAAAAGAGCCAAAUAAAAUAUGACUGUUUCAGGUAAUAAUCUUAAAUUACAGAGGAGUCAUAACAGACUCUAAGAACUAGUGUGAGUUCUUCAUUCAAGUAAAACAGUAGCCUGGUGACCUUAUGCACAACACAUCCUCGUUCUCUUAGGGUAGAGGAAUAUAUAAUUAUAAAAAACCUGGAAGUAGCAAGGCUUAAAUUACAUUGCCAGGGCAGCUUGUUUCUAAAGGGCUUAUUACAGCCAUGAACCGCAAACCUGUGAUUUUUUAAAAAAACAUGAAUUGAUGUCAUAAUGAGGUUUAAAUGGAGACUCUCUGUCUACAUUGCCUCCCAAAGGAGAGGGGUUCCCCUUCUACCCUGGGCAUAGUGCCUCCUUCUGCUGUGCCGUUUAAUGCAAAUGUAAACAAAAAGGAGAGUCAAAUAUGAAGGCUGAAUUCAUUUCCAACUGGCUGUCAUGGAUUUUCACUUUGCUCUCUUCACGGUUCACAAGGGCACCUUUCAAGUCUGGUUUAUACAGAAGAUGCUUAAAAGGGUACAGCCUACAGCAGAAAUACAGCACUGAUUGUGAGUUUGGAAACAAAGUCUCUUAGAAAGGCAAUCCAUGUGGAACCUUCAUUGUAGAAAUCUUUAACGCUACUGUUAUUGGAGCAACUGAAAAUAAAAGAGGAAAUAUCAUAUGAACAGCUGUUUUUCUACCUGUCCGGAAAACUAAAGUUUUAUUAUAAAUCUAUGUCUCACAACACAGAGCUGGCUCCAAUGUCUAGGUAGCCUUAAGUGGUUGCCUAUAGCAGCAAAAUAUUAGGGGCAGCAAAAUGUUUAGUGAUUGUUAAUUGUAUGAGUGUAGGCUGGGUGGUGCAGACAUUUUCCAGUUUGCUGUGAGCAACAAAAACCCUAGAGACAUCCCUGGCAUCCCCAGAUCUUACACGUACAAGUAAGCAAUUAAAAUGUGUAGGGUUUCCUAGGAAGGAAAUAAUUUUCAAACUACCAGUUCAACUGAAGAGAAUAAUGGAGGCCUAUACCUUCAAAAAUAUCACAAAUAUGAUACUGUAAUGAACUGGUUAGUGUGUAUGUGUACCGCUGUCCUCUAGUGGAAUCAGAACUGCUCAGUUGUGUGUCCAUCUACUAAUAGGUAAAGAGUCAUCACCUAGAACUUUUAUUCGGGGAACAUUCAGACAGGCACUUGUAUUUGAGAAAGCAUUUGCAAGUCCUGAAAGUGGCAGAAAUUUAAGCACACAUGUUUCUUUGUGCAAAAAUUCCUGCCCUACAAGCAUUAUUCACUAUUCUCCUUUCAAGUCAUCCAUUAGGGGUGCAGAUACAAUAUCCUGAGGGUUUGGUGACCAACGGUAAAACACGGAUAAUGAACACUUUAUCAAGAACCCAUAACCAAAAAAUAUUUUCCAAACUAUUUGGAAAAUAAUUACAAACCAAAACUAAAGUUGGAAGAAAGUCAGGAACAGUUUGUGAACAUUAGCCAAAAAGAAGGUUCAAUUUGCAGCUAAUAAUAUUCAUAAUAAAUAGACUGAUCACCUUUAGGUAUAACGCUGAUGCUCCCAAGUGACUGCAAGUUUCAUACUUGUUAUGCUAGAAGAUGUUCAUGGCGGCUUUGAUAUAAUUCAACCAGAUUUGGUUAAAAUUGAUAGGUGUGCUAAGCACCUUUCAGGCUAAAUGAAAGGAGAAAUUAAAUGCCCCUUUAUAUAGUGAUAGCUAGGAACAGUAGGAAGCCACUGCCCAAGGCAAUGGGCCAUAUGGCAAGGCUGAUCAGAUGUUAAGCUGUGUGGGCUGAGAGGUUUCCCAGGAAAUGACUGCAAAUGCAGGGGCUAGGAAACUAGGGUUGCUGUAGCUGUGUCUACACUACAAGCGCUAGAGUGGCCACUGUAGCAUAGACACUUGCUACAGCAAUGGAAGGCAUUUUUCUUCAGUUAACCUAGCAGCAUCUAUACCAAGGUUUAGGGCAGAUUAAUUAUGUCUCCUGAAUGAUGUAGCUAGGUCGACCCAAGUUUUAGGUGUAGACCAGCCCCGUGUGUAUCUGUGUGGCAGAGAGGCAGAAAGCAAUGGAAACAGUGGUAAGUGACCCUAGGAGCAGGCAAAAAGACACUUAUAGGGAUGGUAUUCUCUGGAAAGGCAGACUUGGAUUUCUGAGCAUGGAAUCUGCCUGCUGCUGGUUUUUUCUACUGUGUUCAUGGGUGUGCUUGCAGAAAUGACAUUAAAAUCUUAUUCAUACCUAACAUUGUUCUGAAGUGGAGAGGGUGCCAGUUUAGCCAGUUUAGACCUAAAGACUUUAGCACAUCUCUGUAUGUAUGAUUGUAUAGAACAUUUUCUCAAUGUGAUUAGCUACCUCUGUAUAAAAUAUUCCCUCAUGGACAGUUCAUUUAUUCUCUUUUUUAAAAAUAAAUAUUGGAUGAAGGAAAUUAUAGCCUUAUGGUCCAACUUUCAGAUACCAGAUUGAACAGUACAGAAUGGAUUUACUAUUAUUCUACCCCUCCCCCCUUGAAUAACCCAGAGUGAAUAUGCUGGGCACUCUAAUUUCUCUCUCUUCUCAGAAGCUGAAACCCCAUAGGUACAGUUCCUCUGCACUCAUUAUGCAUCUCCUGGGUACACAACUCAAACAAGAGCUACCUUGUGCUAACAGUGCAUUGAUUUGCUUGCACUCAUCAAAGUGAAGUGACCGCUUUACAGAGGGAAAUAUUUUGCACUUUAGAAUUAAAAAAAUCUUCCAAUAAAGUUGUAGAGAUGCUAGAUGGUUGCAGAUUUUUUCUCUCCAUAUUUUAAUACUGCUAAGCUGCCAUACAUUUAUAAACAACCAGUAGAAGUUCUUUUUUCAACAUGUAAUUCUUUGGAAGAGUCAUGGCUGAAGAGUAUUUUUCAGGAUAGUACAUUGUUGCUAUAAGCCUUGUCUUUCCUCACCUCAUCCCCUUAAUUUUUGUCACCCUCACUGUGUUAAGGAUAAUUUUUGAGCCCUAAUAGUGCUAUACUUAUGGAGAUCCAGUUGCAGGACUGAGGCCUUGAGCCCCAAUCCUGCAAAGACUUAGUUUGUGCUUAAGUUAAUAGGAAUAUUUGGGUUUAACGUUAAACAUGUCAGUAAGUGUUUGCAGGAUUUGGGUGUUAGACUGCUUGGGGGCAGAGAAUCUUAUGACAUCUGUGAAAAUACUCCCUAGGAUACAUAAAAUAAUAAUUUUAAAGGAACUUUUUCUGCAGGAUAUUUUUACACAUAUAAAAUGUCAUACCUGUCCCGAUGUUGAUUUUUUUUGCCAUGUAAAAUUUAUGGCAUCUCAACUUUCUGUUUUUGUUGUUUUUUUAAACAACGUAAGUCUGCUUCACGGCAGAUGAAAAAUGUUAUUUAUCAUUCCACCAGUAGGAUUAUUGGAAAAUAUGCAGAUCUUAAGCCAUCUAUUACGAUUGAUUCCCCAGAUUUCCUUCUCCAACCCUUUCUUCCUCUACCAUAGAACCACUUUCCUUUCAGUUUGUUUGGUAAUGUCUCCUCCUAGGAUAGAAAAUUACUGUUAGUCAGCCCACAGAUAAUGCCAAAGGGAGGUGUGGUUUGCACGCUCACUUUUUCUCUCCAUAAUACUAACUUGAUCUGACUUAGUCAAGAACAUUUCCAAGGUCAUAUCUACAAGCAAGUUUCCUGAACACAACUAUGUGCAGGCUUAAUACUAGUGAGCCAGUUAGAUCACGUUUAAUUUAAUGUGACAUGUUUUAGAAACAUCUCUGAAGUAGGACUGAAUAAAAAUAAGCAUUUGUGUAGAGUAUUUUUCCUAAAAUGAAAUUCAGUUCUCAGAAGCUUCUCACUCAGCUUCCAAUUUUUGCACCCAAACCACCAGAGGCAAGCAGUCUCAGCAGCAUUUCACAUAGUUGGAGACAGAUGAGGAUAGGCAAACUAUUGCCUUCAGAAAGAAGAGAAGCAGGAAGAAUUCCUAACAGCUAGAAGUUUCAAAUUGAUACCAGGUCUUCAACAUGGAAACUAUAGAAGAUACCUCCCAAUAUCAAGGAGGUCAUAAGGAAUGAAGAGAUAUACAGGACAUGCGUGGAAUGCAGCUCAGCCCAACCUGUAAGAAAAUCCAUUUUACCUGCAAAGAGUUCUCCAACUGUUCAAGGCAGAGAGAUGAUCCUUGUUGGAGAUUCAAUACUGAGAAAAAUCCAAAGAACAUUCUGCAAGGGACAUGUGGACAACAGGAUGGUGUGCUGUCUUCUGGAGCCAAGACACAUGAUGUCACUCUAAAAUUGGAUAGGCUUCUGAAGCCAAUGUUCAAGAAUCCAUUGGUGAUGGUUCAUAUUAGCACUAAGACAUUUCAUCGGAGGAUAUCUUGCAGAUAGUGGAUUACUUCAGGGAACUUGGAAGCAUGCUGAAUAAGAAGAAUGUUCAAGCCAUCUUCUCUGAGAUCUUUCCUGUCCCUCAAGCACAUGAAGACAGAAAGCAAAGAAGAUUCUGCAAGUGAAUCACUGGCUAGUUCUCAUCCACCGGGUAGAAACUCUCCCACCAUAUGCUCAACAGGCAAUCAGGAGGCCUCUGUCUGCUCCCACUAGUAGAUCUGAGUGGGGCAGAGCAGCCAGGAGGAGGCGACAAGCAACAGUGGCAGCAGCAGCAGCAGCAACAAGUGGAGUCUACAAGGACAGAAGGUCAGAGGGGCCCAGUACUAGCCUGAAGCAGAACUGCUCCCCUACCAGGGCUCGGAUUGGGGAAAGAUGUGUGAAGAAAAUCCCUCCUGUCUCCAGUCCCCACAUUUGGUGAGAGGGGUGAGAGACUCACAGUUGCCCCCAUUCCACCAUCUUAUCCAGCACAGGAAGGCAGUCAGGGAGCAGAGCAGCUGUGGAAAAAGCAGAAGUUGAAGCUGAGGAGAACAACAGAAAAGGAGCAGCAGAACCUUGGGAGAUGUAGUUGAAGAUGUGCAAAAUCAGAAAUGGGUAGAAACUCCCACAGAGUUCUAAAGUUUGGCCAAAUAUGGCAAAAAAAUUAGACACAUUGUCAAGAAGACAAUGUCCCCUCCCCUCAUUUUUAACCAGCUGUAGAGCUGGAUGAAUUUAAAAAAAAAUCAAAAUGUUGAUACGAAAAUGAAAGACAGAUGGUUAAUUUCCCUCUUCCCCCUAUUUUUCCCCCAUCUCUACUAGAGACUAUGCUUUUCAGUAAACUGUUCUGUAAUGUUUAGUCCACCAAACAGGUGAAAUACCUGCACAUUUGGCACAGCUACACUUGUUAUCAAUAGCACUAUCCAAGUAAUUGUGGAUUAUGGCUGAAACAUCCCACUUUUGAGAGUCUAUACAACCCUUCUUUUAGAAAUAUUUUAGCCUAGGUCCUCUUCUAAUGCACCUUUUGUAACAGAAGAACAUCCUUAGUUGCCUACUAUUUUGAAUGGAAGCUGCAGCUAAGACCCUCAAACACAUACAUCUAUCUACUAUUGGCAGCUAUGCACAGAUAAUUUGAUUUAAGUUCACAAUUUAACACUUUUUUAUUAACAAUGAUCACUCUACUGCAUGGAAUGUCUUAGAUAAUGAUAGCAACUGGCAGGCAUCCAUACUUGGUGUAUUUAAGUAAUUUUACAUUUCUUUCUGUAGGUUGGCAAAUUUUAACACCAUCCACAUUUCCAAAUACCCAGGAUGAAUCUUAGCAUCAUUGAAAUCAGUGCCAAAACUUCAACGGCGUCAGGAUUUCACCUUUACUUUUCAAGUUUUAGUGCACACUUUUGUGCAUCACUACACAUUUGUGUUAAUUACAUAUUACAAGGCCCAAGUUUUACUGGCAGACAUACACUCUCUCCUCUAUAAGUACUUGUGUUCACUUUUGACUGAGUUACAUUAUGAAUGCUCUUUAUUUUGCCUAAUGUUAAGUGAAAAAAAAGGAGAGAGGCACAUUUUGGCCCUAAUUAUAAGCUUACAUGUAGCAAUGUAAAUUGCAGUAAUUCAUUGAACUAAGUAGAGUUACAUCAAUGCAGAACAGAUAUAAGGAAAGUCAGAAUCAGCCCCUUUGGUUCUUCUGUGGGAUUUCAUUGAAAUGUGAACAUAAUGAAACUGAGAAUGAUAAGGCUGUGCCACAUAAUUCUCCUCCUGCUUUGCCUUCUCUUUUUCAUUAAAUGGUUUCAAAGAGAAUUUUUUUUAGAUUCAUAAAAGUGCAGUUUGAACAUUUAUGAUACCAAAAUAGUUUCUAUACUCCAUUAUUUUCCUGAUGUACGGAGAAAAAAAACAUCAUUAGAAAUAUCAACUGUAAGUCAUUAGUUUCUUAAUAAAAUGAAAAAGGAUUUUUAUUUGAAAAAUGCUAAUGUUUAGCAUUGAUUUAUAAGAAAUCAUUUGUUUGUUCUUUAUUAGAUUAUAUUUUAUGAUAGCAGGAGCAACAGUGACCAUUAUAUUUAAGGUUUUAUAAUGUUUUCUAGUCUAGCCCCUUGUUUUCAGUCAUUGCUAACUUUAUAAAACAUCUACUUUUGAGGCUGAAAUUUUUCAGUUUUGGCCUGCACCUACAGGUGACUUUUUAAAAAAUUAAAUUUUGAGGAAAAAUGGUUUACCUGAUUUUGGAAUAUAAGGAGAAUUGAUAAAAAUAUUAUUUUCCUCAAUCACAUAAUGCUUGCAAAUAGUUUUUUAAGCGCUCUAUAGCAGAAACAGCUGUGGGUAAAAAGCUGAAAUGUGGUUAUUGGCUCCCUUAACAGUGUAGAGUAAAGUGUUCUCAAAGUGUGUAUGAGCUGAGGCAAGAGCUCCACAAGAGCCUUCGCCUGAAUCAUUGUAACCCUUUUACGUUACAAAAGUGCUAGAGAUGGCUGCUGUGCGUUUUAUAAGAUGUGCAGGGUCUAACACAGCUUUGCAUUCUAAACAUCAUAGCAGGGAUUUCUACCCGAUUCAGUUUCGGAACAUACCUGGAAAGGAGUAAAGUCAAACAAGUCAUCUUCCCCAGUUACACAAUCUGAGGGUUCACAGAAAAGGAUACCACAUAGCGAACAUCAGCAAAUGCAUUUUCACUAACAGACCCUAGAUCUGAAUAUCUACUGGUAGCAGGUAUUUCCUAUAGAGAAUCCUUGGUUGUGGAACUUGUAUUCCCACUUGUCUGACAGCACCAGGGUUUGUUAACACUGAGGCCAUGGUACAAAGCCCAUCUGCUGACUUAGGCUGUUGCCUGAGGUGUUCAGAGGAGUGUUUUCAUAUCCUAAGGCAUUAUGGUGUGUAUCUCCUUUUUAGUUAUAAUUUAUGGUAAUAAAAUAAAUUAGAAAAAAUAAUACAUGGAAUAUAUUGACUUAAUGUUUAGGAGAACCUGGAGAUUUAGUGUCCUUCUAAAUAAAUGUAAACUUUGGCUUUGCCUCUGCAAAAUAGUUACCUCUCAUGUCAAUAAAUCUUUUCAUUUCUCACUUAAAUGAAAGCCAAUUUCUGCUUAAGCUGGUUUACUAAGAAUAAUACAUUAGCUGAUCCAGUUUAAAUAAUUAUUUGUUUUUUUUUCAAACAAAAUACAAAAAGGCUAUAGCUUGCUUGAAGAAUACAGCAUUGCCGAUUCUCCUGAUUUUACUGCAAGACUCACAAUAUUUGUUAUUUUUCAUAAAGCCCUGCUCCUGGAGUCAUGUUAUAUGAUCAUGUCUUCUUUCAUUAAAAAAAUAUUUCCAAUCCUCAUAGUUGCAGAGCAGAGCUUAACAAGACAAAAGCCAGAAUGCAAAUAAGAAAACAACACAAUUUAUUAAAAUUUCAUUAUUUUUUAGAUAGUCUCAUGAUUUCUGAAUGCUCAGGGUUAGCAAUACAGAGAGCAGUUCCUAUUUUUUAAAGUCUAUUCUUUAACAUUUUAACUGGAAACCUAAAGAAAUGGAUCCUGCUUGUCAUUCCCCAAUCAAAAAUGACUUUAUGGGUUAAACCACUGUGUUCUGAAAAUCUUUGUUCAGGAUGACAACAUGUAUGACAGGUGAUAGCCUGACAAUUUAAAAUGUCCGAGAUACUAGAAUCAUGAUAUGUUUCUAGAAAGUAUGUUAUCCAGAAAUGUUGUUUGUAGCAUUCAGGAUAUUUAUAGUGGAAACGCAGGUUAAAUGGCAAUACAAAAUGCUAAAGAGAUAAAACUCUUUGCAUAUAAAGUCAUGGGGCAAAAUCCUGAGGGCUUGUCAUGUAUUUACUCAGAUACACUUCUACUACACUUAGCAGGAAUUUAUCUGACUAAACACUGAGUAAAGCCCUCAGAAUUUAGUCCAUUAAAAAUAGCUAGGACAUACUCAUGAGUAUAUUCCAAGCAAAAGUUUCCCAGAUAUUUCAAAUGAUUUUGUUGUCAAAAUACCAGUCAUUUAUCAACUCACUAAGGGUACAUCUACACUGGAAUAAAAGACUCAGAGCCCGGCUGUGGCUGGCCCAGGUCAGCGG